CAGCGCAGUAGUCCUUGCCUUGUCUUAGUGCGGUGUGCACGGCGGGGCGGCGCGGAGGUGGCGUUUAGGGCUCGGCGAUCCUUAGGGGGUUGGGCUCACCGGGCCGCGGCGCGGAGGAGAGACCGACCGAGAGAGAGGGGGCAGGCAGGCAGGCAGGCGCGUUUGUUUGGUGUAAGGGAAGGGAGGGAGGUGGUGUGCAUCGCGCGGCGUGGGCGUGCCCGCCGGGCGGAGGCGGAGGUGUGCUGUGGUCGGCUAGGGGAGGGGAAGGUGUGGACUGCGGCUGCUCAGGGCGCACCCGCCGCCGCGGCCGCUACGGGGGGCGCGACUGCCGCACUAUGGGUCUCGCUGGGUCGCUUAUAGGCUUAGGGGGUCGGUUGUUGUGGUGGUGCCGGAGGGGGAGGGAGGGAGGGAGUGAAGGGGUGGCGCUUAGGCCCCCUGCGGAGGAGGAGCGGAGAGAGAGGGAGAGGGAGAGGGAGAGCGGAGGGAAGGGGGCGGGGAUUUCGCGCUGGCGUGGCGGCGGGCCUCGGGUCGGCGGGUUCAGCCGACGAGCGGGGGAGAGGGCGAACGAGUCGGCUGGGGCCCUCGGGUCCUAGCACGGUCUCCGUCCGUCCGUCCUUUCCCCGAUUGCUCUCGUCGACCAACCCUGACCACCUAACCGUUAGCACACUACAUGAACCGAGACGGCGACUAGGUUGAGUUCGGUCGAACUAGUGCGUCGGAGCCGUGUGGUACCGCGGUAGGCGACGGCGACGUCGGUCGUCGUGGCUCCGACUGCCCCGUGUCGCGUACCGGUUCAAGGAGACGUCAAAGCCUCCGUCGUAGGACGGGGCGGGGGAGCUGCCGGCAGAGGCGAUGCAGCCGCCGCUGUGGUCCUAGCAGUACGACGGGGCGCUGUAUAGGAUGAGGCUGGACCGCCGCGCCUACGCCCUCGAGAUACUGCUACGGCUAUAGUAGUUCAUGGUCGUCGGACUACUCCUAGAACUACGUGACCAGAGCCAACAAUUACUACUACUACACCACUUGUACUACCUCCUCAUACUGUUCGAGUAACGACGCCCUCUCCCCAAGUGAUCCGAGUCCCAGAAGAAUAAGAGCGUCGUGGACCUACUACUCCGACGUAGUCGUCGACACGUAAUGGUACCCCUACUCGCCCUCUGCCUCUCCUCCAUACAGCUGCGCGAAUUGUCGGAACCACUGUACUCUAGUGGAAGUAGAGGACACAGUCACCUCGUCGAAAAACCAUAGCCUCCGUUACUCAGUCCUUAAGGGCUAUAACGACCGGACGCCGUAAACUUACAAGGAGCACGGAGUGUAUUAGUCGCCAUACCCCUCUACCUAAGAGGAACCUCGGGACGUAUAUAGAGAGGCCCCGUCAUACCUCACGGACUAGGUUCCCUAAAAGGGUAAAGUGGUAGUAGACGUUCCAAAGUUCAACCUCGUCUCCUGAAACUACUCUCCUAAGGACUACUAAAACACUCCGUUAGCGGUUUUAUAGCCGUAAUACUCCGAGUCAGUGGCGGUGUACACCUAUUGAACCAGACCGAAGGUGGACCACGACAUUAAGUCGUUUUACGACCGAAGGGUCCCUUAAACCCGGCGAGGCCGUUAAAGAACCUACCUUUGUCACAUAUACUGAGGGCAAGCAGUAAGGUCUUCCCAGUUCCAAGUCACUCACUAGGAGCAAUAUACCUAGGGGCAACCUCCGGUCAGGUUGUUGUAAAACUAGUUAGUUCGUACCGUUCACUCAUAAGACGAGUGGGACGAUAAGUCGCAGGUCUAAUACCAGCAGGACCACUCGUAAUACAACAUCCGGUUCUACAAUCUGACCUUUUACCACAAAUACACUUUCUCGUUUGCCACGUAGGGUUGGUUUCGGUAGUUGCCAUACUCCUAGGUUCCAACUUAGACGGACGAUUACCAUCUCACUACCUAGGCAUACGACUAUCGUUGAGUCGAUUAAGACGUAAACGUGGGUCGUUUCAUAUACUUUACGUAAGUUGUAGAGUGUCGGCGAGUUCGGUACUUUCAGGGGUGAUAAUAGUACCGUCACCGGUCCCGCUCGUACACUCAUCACCGAGGAUACAGGUCUGUAGUCCAAAACUUCUUAGCUGUCCGGUCGUAAUGUCGGUAUGAAGUUGUAUACCACGACUAUGGAAAAUGGUUUACGUCGUCUUGAACGGCGGUGAAGUUAGGUACUCUUCCUCUCGUUCGUCGGGACAAGUGUGUCCGAGUAGUAUACUUAGUGGCGUGGACGGCUAGGGUUUACCCUCGUAGUUGAGGUUGAAACAGUCUUUGUGUCCACUACAAUCAGGUUCCUAAGGACCAUACGGACGUAUACUAGCUCAGGGUUUGGGUACCGGAAGUGGGUUACCGUUGUAUGGUAUAUCUUAGCAACCUGUACUACAAGGGCGACAACAACUCUUGGGAAGAAGGGAACCAAGAGCCAGUCCAGGUUUGUGACGAGUCAUACAAGUCGGAAAGAAACGGGGUCUUAGUCAGGUCGUCGUUGGUCCUCGAGGUAACCAUCUUUAAAAAGGACUUUCUCGUAGGCGACCUGGGUACGAUAGUGGCGAACUACCAUUUCAUAGACAACGACGCCAUGGGGAACGACUAGUAAACAGGUCCAACCUGUAAUUGUGUUGUUUCUUUAACCUUCCUCGUCUACUACUUUCCGUGUGAGUUUUACACUGACUUUGUUUUGGAAGUGUGCGACGCUCACUGGGAUCGUGGAACCAAGUGUUACAACCUCAACUAGAGGUUGCCCCGUUUGGAUGUCUUGUACUGCCACCCCGACAACGUAACGUCGUCACACCCCUAUAUAGCCUCUUGUCUAAUUUAUAGGAAGGUCUCAAACAACGGAGACAAUUUUUCCGACGUGACCUUCUCAGACUCUUCGGUCAUCUCCAAGUCGGUCUACGAGCAGGACGUUUAAGUGGACAAACACUAUUGCCGUUACUACCCUUCUUCAAACUACUCUUAUGACUACAUCUAGUCCUGGGACUACACGUACCUUCGACGCUGGUCGUGUUUUCAAGACCCUAGCUUUGAUGUGGGCGACUUCGACUUCGAAACAGAUUUCCUAAUGUCUGAUAUUCUUUACUACUAGACCUCCUUUAGUCUCUCGAACCAAGCCCAUGAAUACCCAGUCAGAAAGUACCAUUUACCUCCCCAACACUACAACGGUAGUUUUCUUAUUUUCGAUCAACGAAACUACCUUCCGGUAGACUCUCUCUCGCGAACUAUCGCCUAAAGACCUUUCUUCGAGUCUAGGACUCGAGCGAAGUAGUAGGUUUACAUCAAAGUAAAAUACCACAACAAGCACUACCGGGACUACCUUCGAAUCGCUGACAAUGGCUCAAAUACCAGUUACCCAGAGAGUUUGUUAAGGACUCCUUCUUUCUGUCCUGUUAACUAGCGGCGUUUUCCCAAUAUAACCGAUACCUACGACGUAAACCGUACCUUAUAAACGUACCCUUCUUAUAACAGGUAAAGCUAGAGUUCACACUCUUGGAUGACCAUUUGUACUCUCUAGGUGUUGCUGGCUAGACGUUCUAACCACUAGAACCCGAUAGUUUCCACUUCGUCGUAUGAAACCACAGACCACCACAAUCUCCUUGGAAUGGUACCUACCGUGGACUCGAAGACUCACCCUUUUCACUAUACCACAGGCUCUUCUAACUACAGAUGAGUAAACCAUAACACUACACCCUCGAUGAAUGGCCCCUGCUGGGAAUAAGACUAUACGCACGUCGACUUUAAUAACCCCCGUAGCACUUGUUAAGAGAAGCAGGAGUCUAGGGAAGGACCACGCUAGGACUUACCUUUAGUAACUACCUUCCAUCAACCCGACCACUUGGUCGAGUUUCCGGUAGGAAGUGACUUUAUAGAGUUUCCAACGCCUUUUACCGGCGCCGUUACUUACAAUUUAUUUCCCGAGUUAAAUAAUGUUGCGCUUCUCCGUACAUUCCUUAGGGUACAGGUCAAGGGACUGAUCUCCUUCCGUUUGGGCCUUAUAUACAAUGUACACAGAACCGUCGCAGAGCCAAAUAGGAUCAACUUUACUCUAAAAUACUUCCGGAAGGUACCCUCCUCUUUGAGUAGUGCCUGCCAAGAUUUCGCAUAAACUACACUCGGAGGGGACAAGGAAGCUGUUUUAAAACUUCACCAAGACCGUUUGCACUGAAGAGGUAAAGGACGGACGUCCUCAGCAGUCGACGGCGGCAAACGGAAGUUCAUGCUAUAUAUAUAACGUAGACAGGUAAGGAGUACUGCCCUUGACAACCCCAAACAUUACAUUUAUUUAAAACCGGGCGAGGCAGGCCACGUACAAUCUACAACGUGCCCUGAUCUGUGCCACGUUUCGACCUGCGUCAAUAGGGAAAAAGAAAGUAUGCUAACACAGGACUCUUUUUCUCCCUUGUUUGAGACUUGUUCUCUAUAGGAAUAAGUCUAACAUGUAUCAAGUGCUUAUUCUAAACGCCCGGCGGAACUUUUACAAGAAAGGACAUAUAUAUAUAGAAGUGACGGUACUAGGGUGGUCAGUACCACGAACGAACCAUUAAUAAUAACAGCUCACCAUUGGGUAAACCCACACGUAGACUACUUGGAGUCACACCGGUGGUCUUGGAUCUAACCAUUACAGCAAGACCUCAGUUCGAAUGGUUUAGACGUAACACGACCUAGUGAAUUCUUUUACACAGAUGACUUUGACUCGGGGUGUAUAAAAGAGUAAACGAAUAUCAACACGGUUCAAUCGUAAUUAAUUAC
rnacentral:rRNA from 1 species